rnacentral:lncRNA from 1 species
AGAGGAGGCCAAUAUUUAUGGUUCUUUUCAUUGUCUAAACUUUUUUUAAUGCAAAAAAAGAGAUAAUGUUUCUAUGAAAAUUCUGCAAUACAUUCAGAUCUAAACUCGGGUAUACAAACAAGAGCAAAACUACAAUAAAAUGAUAUUAAGUACAAGUCGUCAAAUUUGUUCUCUGAAAAUUGAGCUCACACCCCUUUUGGUUUUUUUUUUUUUUUUUUUUUCCUUUUCUCUUUUUGUUCAUUUUCUAUCAACACUUCUCCUUUUGUUUUCUCUUAACAUUAACUUUAUUUUAGACACCAUCUAUCCUUUUUUUCCCCCUACCUAUAUAACCACCCAAAUCUCUUUUUCUUUUUAUAAUGUCGUAUUAUUUAGCGAACAAAUUUAGUAAUUAACUCCUGACUUUAUGGAAAUAGUAUGUACAUGGAUGAGGCAUUAAUUUAUUCUUUCACUUGAUUGGACUAAUAUGGUGCGGAACUACGAUUGACUAUCUGCUUGGGAAGUCGAUGAUACUGGUGCUGAGAGUGGUAAUAGUGGUGAGCUUGUCCUCCUACUCAGGCGGUUUCCGCCCCGGUGAAACCGAGAAAAGAGUUCACCCACCGGAGCCACCAGCUUCGGGGCUAAAGCCAGCAGCUUCAACAGCAAGAAGCACA